UAGCAUGUUGAUUGUUGAAUGCACUAGUUCCUAUGGUUCAUUGAAGUUAAGCAACGUUGCGCACGGUUGGUAUUCGGAUGGGUGACCAUCUGGAUGAUCAUUAGGUAUAUAAU
rnacentral:rRNA from 1 species